GCCAGUCGCCCCACAGCCGGCCUCGUCUCCGCACCACCGCGGCGCCUCCUCGCCCCGUGCUGCUCACCUCUCUGACGCAGCAACGUAGGGAGGUGUUCACACCUGGGCAUCACCUAGUUGUCCUGCCUUCAGCGACGUAGCGGGCACAAUGAAGGUGACCCGACCUCACCGACGAGACGCCUGCAUGGAGACUUGCUUGGAAAGACCCCCGGAGUUGGCACUAUAAGAUAUUGCCCUGAGCUGGUGUCUGAUGUCACAGCAAGUGUAGCUACGACUUCACACAACGUAAUAUUAACACAACUUAUAUUGA